rnacentral:lncRNA from 1 species
AUGAUGUCAGCAGAGAAGUGCUCCUUGAGGUUGAUGGACUCAAGUGUCUCCUUGCAGUGCAGAUGCUGCCAAGAAAUGGGGCAGAAACUGCUGAAUUGUGGGGUCUUGUGUCAAAAAAGAAAGACUUCUUUUUGUCUGAUGCUGGAAGGUAGCAAUUUAAAUGAAUGAUUUAUGUUCAGAGGAGCAUUUCUUUCCCAUACUGCUUUGUUCCUUCUCACACAGAGGUACGUACAGGGCAAUAGGGAUGAUAUCUGAUAGUUAUUUACAAUGUGUUUAUUCUGGAUGAUAUUGCCUUGUGGCGUAGGCCAGUAGGAAGAUAUUUAUUCUAUUUGAUAUUAAUUCAAUUAAUGUUGAACAUGAUUACUUCCAGAGUUGCCUACACUGUGUUUUUGGGUUGAAACUCUGAAAGAAGAAAAGUAUAAUCCUGUAGUCACACAAAAGAGGAACCCUCCUGGUGCUUGUGUGGACCCUUUUACAUGUGGAUUUAGAUGGCCGUGUGAGUGUUGGAAUGAUGAGUGGCUUGGAUACAAGUGAGCAUCCAAGCUGGCCAGGCAAAUGUAACUAUCACUCUUUCCUACCACCUGCCUCCCAUACUGUAUUUUAUCAAGUCUCAUAAUAAUAACCUGCUGGGGAAACAUGAGGUUUGAAAAAUGGGAGCGGCUUUGAUGGGUUUGGUGGGUUUUCUUUGCUGUCAUUUCCAGGCACACCCCCACAUUAAGAGCCUUUUAGGGAGUCCUCUGGCUGCACAGGUGCUCUGGGCCUCUUGAAGGCUGGGAAUGAAGUAUUCUGUUGUUUCAGCUGCUGUGACCUUAUGGUCUCUGGAAAGGCUGAUUAUGGAUGUAGAGCAGCUUUAUUGCUCCACGGUGACAUGUACCAUACAGUACCCAGUGGUAUUUUAAGUACUUCAUAGUUACAUCAAAGAAAAUACUUAGGGAGUAUUAGGCCUUAUAAACCCAUAGUGCUGUGCCUUUUACAGCUGGAACUUAAAGUCAUGAAACGACUUAGAGGUAUUUGUGCUUUUGUUUGAUUUGGACUGGUGUCCUGCUUUUAAUAUUUCUUUGGAUAAACAACUCCCGUUUUACAGCCUUGCAUGGCUCACACACCCUGUGUUUAACUGAAGGGACUUUGCCACUUGGGGAAUUUUGCCUAGAGAAUCUGGCAAGAAUAA